AUUGAACGCUGGCGGCAUGCCUUACACAUGCAAGUCGAACGGUAACAGGUCUUCGGAUGCUGACGAGUGGCGAACGGGUGAGUAAUACAUCGGAACGUGCCCAGACGUGGGGGAUAACGAGGCGAAAGCUUUGCUAAUACCGCAUACGAUCUAAGGAUGAAAGCAGGGGACCGCAAGGCCUUGUGCGUUUGGAGCGGCCGAUGGCAGAUUAGGUAGUUGGUGGGAUAAAAGCUUACCAAGCCGACGAUCUGUAGCUGGUCUGAGAGGACGACCAGCCACACUGGGACUGAGACACGGCCCAGACUCCUACGGGAGGCAGCAGUGGGGAAUUUUGGACAAUGGGCGAAAGCCUGAUCCAGCAAUGCCGCGUGCAGGAUGAAGGCCUUCGGGUUGUAAACUGCUUUUGUACGGAACGAAAAGGCUCUGGCUAAUACCUGCGGCACAUGACGGUACCGUAAGAAUAAGCACCGGCUAACUACGUG
rnacentral:rRNA from 1 species